rnacentral:rRNA from 1 species
CACGAACGCUGGCGGCAGGCUUAACACAUGCAAGUCGAGCGCCCCGCAAGGGGAGCGGCAGACGGGUGAGUAACGCGUGGGAAUCCACCCAUCUCUACGGAAUAACGCAUGGAAACGUGUGCUAAUACCGUAUACGUCCUUCGGGAGAAAGAUUUACCGGAGAUGGAUGAGCCCGCGUUGGAUUAGCUAGUUGGUGGGGUAAAGGCCUACCAAGCCGACGAUCCAUAGCUGGUCUGAGAGGAUGAUCAGCCACACUGGGACUGAGACACGGCCCAGACGCCAACGGGAGGCAGCAGUGGGGAAUAUUAGACGAUGGGCGCAAGCCUGAUCCAGCCAUGCCGCGUGAGUGAUGAAGGCACUAGGGUUGUAAAGCUCUUUCACCGGUGAAGAUAAUGACGGUAACCGGAGAAGAAGCCCCGGCUAACUUCGUGCCAGCCGCCGCCGUAACAC